rnacentral:rRNA from 1 species
CGUAGGUGGCAAGCGUUGUCCGGAUUUAUUGGGUUUAAAGGGUGCGUAGGCGGUCCUAUAAGUCAGUGCUGAAAUAUUACAGCUUAACUGUGAGGGUGGCAUUGAUACUGCAGGACUUGAGUAAAGUUGAGGUAGGCGGAAUUGACGGUGUAGCGGUGAAAUGCUUAGAUAUCGUCAAGAACACCGAUAGUGUAGACAGCUUACUAAGCUUUAACUGACGCUGAGGCACGAAAGUGUGGGGAUCAAACAGGAUUAGAUACCCUGGUAGUCCACACUGUAAACGUUGAAGACUCGCUGUUGGCGAUACACAGUCAGCGGCUGAGAGAAAUCGUUAAGUCUUCCACCUGGGGAGUACGCCGGCAACGGUG